AUUUAACCUUCAUCAAUAAUUAAGUCUUGCAUAUAAAAAUGUUAAAAACUGAUGCAUUUUGUGCAAAACGAGAAAAAGGCGCAAAGAUAAUGCUUUUAUGAAUUCUGUAUCAUCCUCACCAAAAAAGGAAACAGAAAAACAAGAAAAGAAUUGUGAUUUUUGAUCUGUUCAAUUCCUUGCAUGUAGCAGAUCAACAGUGUUUGAAAAGAGGAACUAGCAAAAUAGUGGGCCAAAGAAGUCAUGUACUCUUGUCUAUAUAAAUUGCCAUUCAAGGUGACCUCUUUAGGGAUCACCGUAUAAAAGUGUAUUCGCAUGCAUGUUUUACAUAUAUAUAUAUUUGUUUUUAUUUUCUUUAACACAUAAAUGAAAAACAGUGGGCAAAGAAUAAAUUUGUUCAUGCAUCAUUGUUCAAUUGCCCUGUGCUAGCAUUCUGAAAUAAUCAUAUUCAGUUGCAUGCUUUAUGUUAUUUUAUUUUUCUUCUUUCAUUAAACAGAUUGUUUCAGUUGUCUUGGAAAAU
rnacentral:misc_RNA from 1 species